rnacentral:lncRNA from 1 species
CAGCAAAGUAAGAUCCACAAAUAAGUCAACAUGACCAAAAAGGUCAGUUGACCCCUUAAGGAGAUAUUGCCCUUUAUAGUAAAUUUUUGUAAAUUUUAACAAAAUAUUUUCCUCUGUAACAAAUGGGCCAAGUUCAUUAUAAAUUGAGAUAAUUGUAAGAAGCAAGAAUGUUCAGUAAAGUAAGAUCUACAAACACAUCACCAUCACCAAAACACAAUUUUGUCAUGAAUCCAUUUGUGCCCUUUGUUUAAUAUGCACAUAGACCAAGGUGAGCGACACAGGCUCUUUAGAACCUCUAGUU